rnacentral:rRNA from 1 species
GUUAGGAAUAUUGGACAAUGGGCGCAAGCCUGAUCCAGCCAUGCCGCGUGAGUGAUGAAGGCCUUCGGGUUGUAAAGCUCUUUAGUCCACGAAUAUAAUGACUGUAGUGGAAGAAUAAGCCCCGGCUAACUUCGUGCCAGCAGCCGCGGUAAUACGAAGGGGGCGAGCGUUAUUCGGAAUCACUGGGCGUAAAGCGUGCGUAGGCUGUUUUGUAAGUCAGAAGUGAAAGCCUAGGGCUUAACCCUGGAAUUGCUUUUGAAACUACAAGACUCGAAUUCGGGAGAGGAUAGCGGAAUUGUCAGUGUAGCAGUGAAAUGCGUAGAUAUUGACAGGAACACCAGUGGCGCAAGCGGCUAUCUGGACCGAUAUUGACGCUGAGGCACGAAAGCGUGGGGAGCAAACAGGAUUAGAUACCCGUGUAGUCC